GCAUGUUUGAAAAGCCAAAAGCAAUUAGCCAUUAUGCAAGAUACUUGAUCUCAGUUUCCUGCACUGCAAAAUGGGAAUGGUUGCACCCUCCGUAUGGGAUUGUGAUGAGCACUGUGUGUGGCUUCAGGAAUGCACUGAUGAGCAGUUACUUCUUGUCCUUGAGAAACUUCUGAUCCAGAGGGAGAAACAUAAAACUUCUAGUAGCGACCUGCAUCCCUUGGCUCAGAGUCCCUUUCUCCAUCUUCACAGCCAGCAGCACAGCAUCUUCACUUCUCUCUGACUCUCCCCCUUCAAUCUCCUGCCUCCAGCUUAUAAGGACCCCGAGGAUUACAAGUAGAGCAAAGUUCAAGAUCUACAGUAUAGGUUGACCAGCCGAAUGACUGCAACAGCUGCUUUGGAAGGGCUUCCUUGAGCUUUGUGUGAAGAAUUUUGAGGCUGUGUGUGGGUUCAGUAAUGUGGAAGGUUCCAAGAGCCAGAUGCUACACCAUGCAAUGUUAAAAAAAAAAAAAAGAAGAAGAAGCCUUUAUUGCACUUUAUUGAAGUGCAAUAAACACGAGUUUCACAGAUCAGCACUCCACAGGUGGAGGGAUUUCACAAACUGAACUCUUUGGGCACAAUCUCCAGGUCAAUCAACAGCCGCCAGGCCUCUGGGAACAGCCUCAAAUCCCAUUCUGCCAAUGAGACUUCAGAUGUGGAGGAUCUGGAGAUGGGGAGAUUAUCCUGAAUGCUGCUGGUGGACACAGUGUAGCCAUGAGGACCCUUACGAUGAAGAAGGAAGGCAGAAACAUGGGGAGGUUUCAAAGAUGAGAAAAGAGCUGCAAGCUGAAGAAUGUACGUGGCCUCCCAAAGCUGGAAAAGACUUUCCAGAAUGAAAAAGGAUGAAGAGGAAGAGGGUGAAGAGCUUGACCCAGAGAAUCUCACCAGCAUACUUCAUAGACCUCGAGAAAACAAUCCAAAAAUUCAUUUGGAGCAAGAAGAGACCCAGAAUAGCAAAAGCAAUUCUAAGUAACAGAGACAUGGCAGGGGGUAUCACAAUCCCCAACCUGCAACUCUACUACAAAGCUACUGUGAUAAAAACAG
rnacentral:lncRNA from 1 species